GCGUUGUGUGAAAGGAGAGAAGCUUAGCGCUCCCCCACAAGGAUGGGAGAGGCCCUCAGGCCUGACAACACGCACAGUGUUAAGGCGUUGCCGCCUAUUUCCAGGCAUCUAACCAGUGGAUGAU
ensembl:snRNA